rnacentral:rRNA from 1 species
CCUACGGGUGGCUGCAGUGGGGAAUAUUGCACAAUGGGCGCAAGCCUGAUGCAGCCAUGCCGCGUGUGUGAAGAAGGCCUUCGGGUUGUAAAGCACUUUCAGCGGGGAGGAAGGCGUUAAGGUUAAUAACCUUGUCGAUUGACGUUACCCGCAGAAGAAGCACCGGCUAACUCCGUGCCAGCAGCCGCGGUAAUACGGAGGGUGCAAGCGUUAAUCGGAAUUACUGGGCGCAAAGCGCACGCAGGCGGUCUGUCAAGUCGGAUGUGAAAUCCCCGGGCUCAACCUGGGAACUGCAUUCGAAACUGGCAGGCUAGAGUCUUGUAGAGGGGGGUAGAAUUCCAGGUGUAGCGGUGAAAUGCGUAGAGAUCUGGAGGAAUACCGGUGGCGAAGGCGGCCCCCUGGACAAAGACUGACGCUCAGGUGCGAAAGCGUGGGGAGCAAACAGGAUUAGAUACCCGUGUAGUC